CCUACGUGAGGCAGCAGUGGGGAAUAUUGCACAAUGGGGGGAACCCUGAUGCAGCGACGCCGCGUGAGUGAAGAAGUAUUUCGGUAUGUAAAGCUCUAUCAGCAGGGAAGAAAAUGACGGUACCUGACUAAGAAGCCCCGGCUAACUACGUGCCAGCAGCCGCGGUAAUACGUAGGGGGCAAGCGUUAUCCGGAUUUACUGGGUGUAAAGGGAGCGUAGGCGGUUAUGCAAGUCUGAAGUGAAAGCCGAAGGCUCAACCAUGGGACUGCUUUGGAAACUGUAAAACUUGAGUGCAGGAGAGGUAAGCGGAAUUCCUAGUGUAGCGGUGAAAUGCGUAGAUAUUACGAAGAACGCCAGUGGCGAAGGCAGCUUACUGGACUGUAACUGACGUUGAGGCUCGAAGGCGUGGGGAGCAAACAGGAUUAGAUACCCCUGUAGUC
rnacentral:rRNA from 1 species